GUGUAUAGCUCAGUGGUAGAGCACAUGCUUAGCACAUAUGAGGUCCUGGGUUCAAUCCCCAGUACCAACA
rnacentral:tRNA from 1 species